rnacentral:ncRNA from 1 species
AUUGCCCGUCAAGCUAUGGGAGCUAGGCAUGCCCGAAGUCAUUACCUUAACCGCAAGGAGGAGGAUGCCGAAGGUGGGGCUAGUGACUGGAGUGAAGUCGUAACAAGGUAGUCAUACCAAGGUUCGGCUG